CAGAUGUUACAGCGAGAAGCAGAGCAAUUCCUUUUAGAAGAAGUGUACCUUAUCAGCAAAAGUGGGUUUGCUGCUUUGAUUGAAGUAAUGUUGUAGGAUUGGAAGACUUGUUGAUAAUACUCACAAAAGUGAAUGGGCAACUCUGAGAGAAAGAAGAUGGCAAGUAUUUAAAUCAAUUUUAAGCCAAGUAAAAUUUGAAAUUGAGUUGAUACUAUUUUUGAAUUGAAUGCUGAGAUGAAGUUCCUGUCCUAACACUGGAUUGUGGAAUGAAGUCUGAAGUAAUAAAAAAAAAGAGAGCUGAGAGGGUGCUGAGAAGUUCAUCCAACAUCAUUUUUCUGCUGAAAAUUGUUUACAAUAUUUACCUCCAUUUUUAAUCAUAGAAUCAUAGAAUCACGGAAUCACUCAGGUUGGAAAAGACCUUAAAGAUCAUCAAGUCCAACCAUGACCUAACCAUACUACCCCAACAACCCUCUGCUAAAUCAUGUUCCUGAG